UCCCUGGCAGUCCAGUGGUUAGGACUCCGCACUUUUAUUGCCGAGGGCCCGGGUUCGAUCCCUGGUCAGGGAG